rnacentral:rRNA from 1 species
CGACUAAGCGUACACGGUGGAUGCCCUGGCAGUCAGAGGCGAUGAAGGGCGUGCUAAUCUGCGAUAAGCGCCGGUAAGGUGAUAUGAACCGUUAUAACCGGCGAUACCCGAAUGGGGAAACCCAGUGUGAUUCGUCACACUAUCAUUAACUGAAUCCAUAGGUUAAUGAGGCGAACCGGGGGAACUGAAACAUCUAAGUACCCCGAGGAAAAGAAAUCAACCGAGAUUCCCCCAGUAGCGGCGAGCGAACGGGGAGGAGCCCAGAGCCUGAAUCAGCAUGUGUGUUAGUGGAAGCGUCUGGAAAGGCGCGCGAUACAGGGUGACAGCCCCGUACACAAAAGCGCAUGUGCUGUGAGCUCGAUGAGUAGGGCGGGACACGUGGUAUCCUGUCUGAAUAUGGGGGGACCAUCCUCCAAGGCUAAAUACUCCUGACUGACCGAUAGUGAACCAGUACCGUGAGGGAAAGGCGAAAAGAACCCCGGCGAGGGGAGUGAAAAAGAACCUGAAACCGUGUACGUACAAGCAGUGGGAGCACAGGUUUACCUGUGUGACUGCGUACCUUUUGUAUAAUGGGUCAGCGACUUAUAUUCUGUAGCAAGGUUAACCGAAUAGGGGAGCCGGAGGGAAACCGAGUCUUAAC